UUUACAGCUACAAUUAAUUACUGGAUUGUCCUUUUUAAAAAAAUGGUGGGGAAAAGUGUUUUAAUAGGGUUCAUUACCAGUAUAUGCUCAAAACACUUCAUAGACUCAGUCCUUGUUUCAUGCUUUUCACGUUCUCAUGGUUCCUGAUGAAAAUGCUUAAUUUGUGAAUAUUCCCAUAGAGACGUAGCUCAGUCUAUCUCUUCUUGCUCCUAGGCAAGCUACAAAAGGGAAAACUGAAUCAUUAAAUUACAAGCCACGUGGUAUCAAUGCCACUUUCGUUUCCUCCCUUCCUCCUCAGAAGACGGGGAAAUAGAAACCUAAAGGUUUUGUAGGCUGGUCUCUGAGAAUCACUUUAAAACUGGGGGAGGGGGGGUUCAGCAUGGAACGAGAGUCUAGGUGCUGUUUCCAUUGGCGGAGGAUACUGUCAAUCACUAGCCUCUCCCCAAUAUAGAGAACGUGCUGGAAAUAGCUGCAGAUUUCCAAGGAGAGGCGUGGGUGAUGCCUUGCAGGGGACUGCAGGGCCAGCAUAGGGGUCCUCUGGCCUUCGCUUUCUGUUGCCAAGACACCAGCUGAGGAGUAGCCACUGUUGUGCAGAGUGAGCGGCAAGCACAUUGGGGGCAGCAGGAGCGGGGAGAAGCCAGAGAAAAAAUCCUCAUCCGCUGGCUGGGAGCUGCUGCCUGUGUAGAACAAGCCAGAGGCAAACAAAGAGAGGCGGGUGGUGUGGGGAGCAGGGCUUUGGGCCUGGCUGGGCCAUCCCUGAUUUAGACUUUAAUCCCAUCAUUCUGACGCAAUUCAAACUGAAAUGGAGGCUCCUCUCUUCCAUCUCGAAACUCCCCAUUGUUUUGGCAUGUUUUGCCUCAGGGAAUUUGUUUCCAGCAGCUUCUGGGCUCUGGGUGCAAUACUGCGCCUCAGAUUUCAGAUUAAAACUGCCACUGCUGGAAGGAAAGGAGGACCCUUUUCUGCCUCCCCACUUCCAGCCACUCUCUGGAGAUGGGCGAAGGGACCCUCAUAAGAAUAUUAGCAGUGUGGGCAAAGGAAGCAUGGCUUUGUGUUUUUUGCAGUCUUCAGAUGAGGACUAGACCAUGUGAAAAAUGAACAUAAGAUUUUAGCUGCGGUUCGUUCAUUUUCAGCUUUGUAUUCUU